rnacentral:rRNA from 1 species
AUUGAACGCUGGCGGCAUGCCUUACACAUGCAAGUCGAACGGUAACAGGUCUUCGGAUGCUGACGAGUGGCGAACGGGUGAGUAAUACAUCGGAACGUGCCUAGUAGUGGGGGAUAACUACUCGAAAGAGUGGCUAAUACCGCAUGAGAUCUACGGAUGAAAGCAGGGGAUCGCAAGACCUUGUGCUACUAGAGCGGCCGAUGGCAGAUUAGGUAGUUGGUGGGAUAAAAGCUUACCAAGCCGACUAUCUGUAGCUGGUCUGAGAGGACGAUCAGGCACACUGGGACUGGGACACGGCCCAGCCUCCUACGGGAGGCAGCAGUGGGGAAUUUUGGACAAUGGGCGCAAGCCUGAUCCAGCAAUGCCGCGUGCAGGAUGAAGGCCUUCGGGUUGUAAACUGCUUUUGUACGGAACGAAAAGCCCCGGGUUAAUACCCUGGGGUCAUGACGGUACCGUAAGAAUAAGCACCGGCUAACUACUUGCCAGCAGCCGCAGUAA